CUUCAGAGGCGGCGCAGAGGCUGGCGGAGCGCGGAGCCGGUCGCGGGUCCUGACCGACAGCGCCCCGUCUCCCGCCUCCCCAUGGCGGGCAGGCCCGGCCCUCCGCUGGCUCGUCCCGGGCCGGGCGCCCUUGCGGCUCGGUGCCCGCUCCCACUCCGGUGCGAGCCCGUUCGCUCGGCUGGCGGACCGCGAACGCCUCGCUAUCCGGAACGCGCGCCCUCACAGUCGGGAGGGGAAAGUGUUGGAGAUGUAGCCCGGGCGGAGCGGCGGUCUUCGUUCAGCGGAUUCAUAUUGACGGGGCACUCCUGGUUUGCUCCUGUGUCAGCAGCAGAUUUCCCCAGUCGAGGGGACUGUGUUACAUUUGAGAUCCCUAAUGAAUGCUGCACUAAUUAACUUUGGUCCUAGAAGGUCACUGAAUGAUGCAGUGGGAUGCUCUUAUUAACCUUAUCCUGAGAGUUACAAUCUGUACUGACACAUUGUUCUUUUCCCCAUGCUGCCAGUGGACUAAACUUUACUUCCUAAGGAAAAGUUGCAAGCUCAAAGUAGGAGACACUGCACAGAAGACUGUAAACAGCUCAACAUCACAAGCUCUUUGCUUUUGCAAACUCUACUGGGAGAACAGAAAGAAGUGCACUGAAUAAUUCAGCCUUGAGAGUGAAUUGAGCUUGAGAAGAAUUGUUGAAUUCCCAAGUCUGUGGUUUGUGGUUUUUGUUAUUGACUGCUCACAUGGAUUGAAAAUCUUGUCUCUGCAGUCAGUGGUUUUUAUCUCCCCUUCAGAUUCUGCAAUUUUGUCUGGCUUUCCAUCCCUGAACACCAGCUCUCUGUUCCUGCAAAGAAAAACACAAGAACCAUUGAAGGACCUUUCUGCUUCCAAGGAGAGCCAUAGAUAGCAUGCUACACUAAUAAAUCAGAAUUUAACUUUGGACCUGAAUGUUGAAGAUAGUCCAAUGAAAGUUGAUGGAGUCAUCAUGCUGAAUGUGAGGCACUCUUCUUACUAUCCUCCCCUCACGUGCUGGAAUAUCCAAAUUCUCAAGGAAGGUGAAAGUUUGAUGUCAGAAAAGAACCUCCUGAGAAUGGGGUGUCUUAACUCACCCUGAAAUUGGUUAUUUAUAUUAACAAGCUGAUGGGAGCCAGACAAUAACAAUAGAAGUUGGUCCUGCAUUUUAUGCAUUGGCAGCCAAUAAGUAAAAAAACCCCAAGUUAAUACCAUUUGAGAAUUUGUAAAUGCAUAAAAUACAGAGCCCAUUUUCUGCGAGGUGGAAUGAUGAUGCAAUAUCUGUCACUGAAAGUAGCUUGCCCAGAAAAGGGUUACAAUUGUAAGAGUCUAGCCAGUAUUCAGGACUCUAUAUAAAACCUGAACCAUGCUCAUCAUUUCUUAAAGCCACUGAAUAAAGUAAAUGUUAUUACCUCUAAAGCAUUUUUCCCUAGUUCAAAAAAGCAGAAUCAUCUGCAGAAAAAAAAUAUAUAGCUGAAAAUUGUUAUCACACUGUCUAGUAGAACUUUUAUUUAUUAACCCCUUUUGACAAUCUCACUGAGUGGUAUAGUUCACAUAAGUAAAUAUCUGAGCUCAGUCAUAAUGUGGACUGCAGGAAUGCUCUGCUAAUGUAUUUCCACUCAGCUGCUUGCAGCUACAAAUUAACAUUUCCUAACCAAAAGAAAGAAAUUAAAAUGCUUGGUGGUUUUGUGAUGAAUUUGUAAGAUAAUGCUAAGGAAGUAACUUUCAGUGAGGAGGAUAUGGUCCCUUAUCCUUGAACCUUAGAGAUAACAGAACCCUAACCUAAAAAAGGAAAAAAAAACAAACCAAACUGAAGCUCAAAACAAAUUCUUAAUAUCCAAGGAAUAAAAAUUCAUUUUUGAUUCAUGGUAAAUUAAUGCUUUGUAACUUACAGAUAUCACUACUGUUUCUGUAUUCAUGGACUUCUCUGAAAGAUGGCUAAAUCUAGAAAACUUUUUAAGUUAAGUGACAGGUCAGAUGGGAUCUGCUUGCACGUGAAACAAACCCACAAGUCUCCUUGUGGAAGGAUGAAAGUUUUUAUUCCUUUUAGAUCUAUCUUUAGUUCUGAUUAACAUAUAAUCAAAUAAACUGGAGUCCAUCCAGAAAGCAGUUUUGGUAAAAAAUAGUCAGUUAACUGUGUCAAAAAUAUGCUUUCUGCAAGGUAUUCUUGAGGUAGGAAAUGUAGAAAUAGUGUCUGUUCUGGGCUAAAAAUCCCUUUUGCCACAAGCAGGAAUUAAAAUCAGAGCUGUAGCACAUGCAUACACACAGUUUCAAGUGCCAGAACACUUCUGGUUUUAGUUAAAGGGAACAGCCCAUGUCCCUAAAGGCAGGUGCUUCCCAGUGUGAAUCAGGGCUGCCCCUGGAGGGGUCCUGGAAUGCUGCUGUGACGAUCCUGAGGCAGAAUCCUUUCAAAUCUCUGUCUAGGGAUGAAAAACUUACCUUGAAACUGCCCAGCUUUUAUAACAGCUGACUUGGGCACAGCCUUGUUUCUGGGCAAAGGAAUGACAGGAAUAACAAAUCCCUCUUACCCAGGAGAAGGAGGAGAGGAAGGAAUCCCAGGGGAACAGGGCCCUUUGGCCACCCUGUAACUCAUGGUACCUCCGUGCCAUGUGUGCCAGCUUCCUGUUCCUGUGCAACCACAGCACCCAGGGCUGGGCAUCAAUCUGCACAGGACAGGUAGAGUUUCAUGGGAUCUUGGGCAUCUCACUUCCCAACAGACUAGCAAACAUCUCCUCUGCCCUUUGAAACACUGCGGGAAUAAAUGAGCUGUGCUGCUGUGUGAGAUACUUUUGAGGGAGAAGCAGGUAAGCUGUUUCUUUGGCAGAGGCAUAAUUUAAACUUGUGACUGAGUCCCUUGUGUAAAUGAGUUUUUUCAACACAAUAUAAACACUUCCAUCAGCAGAAUCGUGGUUUUUAGAAAUGUAUCUCUUUGUGAUGCUGAGGCAAAAGACACUGCAGUUUGCUUUAUUUGUUGUAAUAAUUAUAACCUAUACCUUAGUACAGUUUUUUCUUCCACCCUGUGAUCACCUUCCCAAGCAGCUAGGAGCUAUUUUUCCUUCUCUGAGGAUGUUCUGAUGAAACUGAUGCUGUGUGGUAGGUCCUGGCCACCUGCUUUACUUGGUCAUGUGAAUGUUUUCCUGAGUCAUACUCCCAAAAUACAUUGUUGCCUAAAUCUAGGGAAAACUGACAAUCAGUAGCAGUUGAACUUUCAUAUUACAGCAGAAUUUGUGUUAAAAAUAAAUUCUCACAAAUUAUUACUUUCUGGGAUACAUGAGUUGCUUGCUAAGAAACUAGGUAAGCACCUAGUUCACUGUGUGAGAAGGGUUUCUCUUGCCAUUAAUUACUCCAGGAACUGAAGUCCACACCAAAACAUUGCAUAGGAAAUUGAGAUUAAUGUUCCAUACUUUUCUGGCUAAAUAUUGAAGCUGUCACAGAAAUGUUCUUCAGCCUAUGUCAGCUGCUGUUAGCUUUCAGAGCUCAUUCUUCUUUAGGCACUGAGAUUUUCAGCUCUUUUCAACCCAGGAAUAUCUGUGCAGCCAGAAGAGUUAAGGUUGCUUUAGCAAGGCAGAGGGCACAGGCCUCAUCUAUAAGUUGUUCUCUGAGCCAGAAGCUGUGGGAAAAAAUAUUUUCUGUGAUGAAAUUACUCCUGGCCUCACCUUUUCCAAUGUGAUCUAUGCAGGGUGCUGUUUUACUGAAAUCCUGUUGUUUUGGCUACUAUGGAUUCUGAUUUUGGUAGAGUGCCUGCCUUUGGGAGAGGAUUCUAAACAGUAUUCCAGGUGGCUGGUGGAGCCCACCUUUGAGUCUGGAAGAAAGAGGGGAAAUGUAAAGUGUGGUGCUGGUCCCAGUAUUCCCCAGGGCUGUCUCUACAGUGGUGCUUAGAGUGGGCUGAUGCCAGCAAUCUCCUUGGUCAUUGAGAGAGCUAGUUUGAAUUUUGCUGAGGUGUGUGUCUGACUCCGUGGGUUCUGUGUGAAAUUCAGUGGCCUCUUUCCCCCAUAUUAGGAAAUAAAAGGUGAAGAAUGCAUAAUCCACCCAGUGCUUGUGCUGGCUGGAGAAAGGUUUGGAACGCAAACUUAGGCUCAUGGGGAGAAACAAACAGAGUGAGUUGACAAUGUGAAGCUAUUGCAAAAAGACAAAUGUGACUCUGCAGUUUAUGGUGAGGAAUAUUGCAUGAAAGACAAAGAACAUAAUUACUCUGAUUUGAAAUUGCUGAUGCUUCAUCUAACACAAGUUUUGGAUACUGCAAUUUCAGAUACAGAUGAAUUGAAGAGUGUCCAGAAAAAAGAAACAAAAAAUAAUCUUACAAAACAAUGAUUUGUAAGCAUUUCUUGUGAGAAAAAGCUGAAAGAAAUAGGUUUCAUAAGCUUUUCUAAAAGAGAAUGAUGGUAUGACUGUGGAAAAAAUUGCUGGUUUUGUAGCCAGUUUUCUGGCUUUUUCAAAUAUAAAUUGAGUAUGAUUACACAGAAAAAUGGGGCAAAAUAUAAUCAACACAACAUAUAGGAAAGUAAAUGCAAUUUUCUAUUGAAUAUAAGGUGAUUUAACCAAAUAGGAAAAGAAUUUAAGUGAGAAUGCAUUUUUGUCUCAAAUGAAAAUCGUGCAAAAGCAUUUUACCUUGAUGUCUUAAAAGUGGUUUAGUUUAGCAAAAUUUUAUUUCGAUUUAAAAUAUUUUUCUUGAGUGAAUAAAUAUGCCUGUCUGUUGAAUGUGUAUUAAGUUUAGAAAAAACAUAAAGGUUGUCUUAACUGUUCCAAAUGCAGCCCAUCUCAGGUCAUUCAAUAUCCAGUGCAGCUCCCACCCAAUUCCUUGUGAAGACUGUGGUGACUUUUUCCAAACUGUAAAACAGCCUUUACUCCCAAAGUUGGGUAAAAGCAAAGUGAUCUGUGAGGGUGCCUGUGUUUGGGGUAUUUCAGUAUAUGGCAGCAGUCAGUUCUGAGCUUUGUUUGUCUGUGUGGAGUCUAGGGAUUUUAGUUCAAGGUGGAUCUCAUCUUGUCCUCUACAUCUUAAGUUACCACUGUAAAUUGUUGGCUCACUUCAGCACCGCAGUGUUGCAUAGAACCAAGGGAUUAGAAGAUGAAACCUUUACAGUUUUUUCUUCUGAAUCACACAGUGGAUUUAACUUUUCACACUUUCUCUUUUUUCACUUUUACUCCAAAAAUGCAAAAUGAUUAAACCAGACAGGUAUGUCUACUUCUCAGUGUAUACUUUAUCAAAACACAGAUGUGAGCAAACUAAGGAAUGUGUGAUAUCAUUUUUUUAUUGGUAGUUCUCCUUACUGAACUGUUAAUCGUUACUUAAAUAUCUCUACAUUACAUAACAAAGACGGUAUUGGUAAUAACUUUGCUCCUCCUUGACAGACAUGCCAAAUAUCAAGGGUACAGAAAUAUAAUCUCAUUAUCGAUAGCAAGUAGACAUUUUUAAGAUAUCCCUCAAAAAGAUCUUUGAACUUUUUGUUCUGUCCAACAACUUUAUACUCCAAAAACGAGGAGAAAUUAUAAUAAAAUAUGAUCACCGUGUUUUUCCAAAUACUCACCUGUCUCUCACAGGAGAUUUUAACCUUUGAUCAAAGUAUCAGAAACUACACAGUAAAGACCUUGAUAAUUAACAAGUCAAGAUUUAGACUCAGUUAUGUCUCACAACAUAAGCCAUAUUUGUGUGAAUGUAGAAACAGUCUCUUCUGACUUUAUUUUCUGCUUUUCACAUUGAAACCAACAUUGAUUAAUACAAUUUAAUUAACUUACUGUAGCCUUACAUAAUCAGAGUGUAAUUUCUUAAGCUGAGAGUUUCUGACUUGAAAGUUAUAUUUACAGUUUGUAUCUGAAUUUAAAUAUAUAAAAAAAAUAUAAACACUUUCCUUUUGUUCAUUAUCAUGCAUCCAGAAAGGAAUGAGAAGUAUCUUUCCAAUUAUUUGAAAUUUGGAGGAUUUUCCUAAUAGCUUCUGUUCUAGCAUGGGCAGAAAACAUGCUUUUUUCACAGUAUUUUGGAGUUUUUUGGUUUUGCUGAUAAAAGUGGAGCUGCCUUCAUUGAACCGAAGACUGUCAUCUUGGGAAGAGAGCGCCCUGAAGCAAAUGCCGGAUACCUCCUUCUGUAUGAGUUUCCUUCCAUUGCAAUAUCCAGCUGGGAGGAAGGAACAAAGACUCACCUUUUAAAUUAUUUUCUCCUUGACUCUCUCAGAAAGUUUAUUUUUUUUAUUAGCAUUCCUGAACCAAAUGAAGACACUGGCAUUUCCUUGCAGAAACCUGUUCAGUUAAAGCCCUCCUGGCAGUUUAUGUUGCUGUCUCUCAAAGGCUUUGGCAGAGCAAGCGGUGAGUGGGACUUCUCUAUUUUAGUCCCAGCCUCCGGAUUUGGGUUAGCUAACAAGAUUCUUCUUCCUCCCUUGAGACCUCAGAUGUCUUCCCAUUUCUCUGUAUCUUUUGUUGGUUUUUUUUUUUCCCUGUGGUUGCUUUUUCCCCCUGUGGUUGUUUAUUUUUUCUCUUGUGUAGUUCAUAAAGUCUUUACUCACAGACAUGAGGGAUUGGAUCACCUGCUUUCCCCAGGAGUCUGAGCUCUUCAGUCCAGACUCCUUGUUGCCAUUAGGUCAACAGGCUGGUACCAGCCUGCUUACUGCAGAUUGCCUUCACCCAAUGCAGCCAGCUAUUUUUCCCUCAAACCAUGUGGAAAAGGAGAAAUUAUCCAUAUCCAGCCACAGUCUUUGUUUUUUCCUUGCUGUUUUGUUUCUAUUCAUGUGCAGGCUUUUCAAUUUCAUGAAGCAGCUUUACAUGAAAGCUGAAAUGUAAUUGCAUCCUCCUGAGUAAAAUGGACAAUUUCUGGGCUGACCAUGUUUUUAAAGAAUAAGAUUACAGCAUUCACUCUGCUGCAUGCUUUCUCUGCGAGCAAAUCCCUUUGCUGAUGUAAAGGGAUUAAAUAUUUUAAGACACCAGCCAGACCAAUUCUUUAUAAUUCCAUAAGUCAGGGGAAGAAAGAAAACAUAACAGGGAGGCCUCUUUCAAUACACCUUCCUUUACUCUAGCAAGUACAAGUGAGGGUUAAUUUCAGCCUACAUCGUGCUUGCGGUUCCGCUUAGCUCUCCUUGUUAAUUUACACUAUAAUUUCCUUGUGGAGUUUUUGGCUUUCUGGUAUGCCUUGUAGAGCUAAGGCAACAAAAUAAAUAUUGUGCCGUUUUCAGUUUUUGCUUCUUUGUUUUAAAUUGGAUCCCUGGAGUAUGAUAAUAUUUGUUACCCUAGGAAAGAAAAAAAAAAAAAAUAAAAGGGUCCAGGGUUCCAAAUGAAACAGUUUCAAGUAUCUUUUUAUGCCCUACUUUUAUAGUUUCUAGUACUCUUUGUCUUGCUCAUAAUAUCUUUAUAUGGCUGUGGGAAAUGGGUGGUUUUCAGUAUUUUGUCUUUCAUUGAUUGCACUUGGUAAGAUUUCCAGGCUCUACUCAGGCAUUUUAUGUUUGACUAUGGGCAGCCAUAAAAUAGUUUUCUUAUAGUUAUGUUGUGAGCAUAAGAGUGGCGCUGUAUCUCGCUUUCUUGGAAUAAUGUAUGGACUUCUGUUCUCCCUUCCAGAUAAUGUUGCAGACUUACCAGAAAGAAUACUUGAUAUCAAGAAUAUGCAGUGUAGUUCUUGUUACCAAAAUUGGGCUUUCCCAUCUCAAAUCUGCACCAUCCUGCCCUUAACAUUUAUUCUCUCAAAGCCAUCUCUGAUAUCUCCCAGAGUGGUGCCAACAGCCUAAUGAGGAGAGGUUAGGAAAAAUAACACACUGGCUGUUUUAGGAGAGGUUGUAUUUGCAAAGGUGGGAGAAGUUCCUAAACUCAGAGCAGCUGAACUCAAGAGAGGCUGGGCUGUCUGGGGCAAUACAGUUCUACUUUGGACACAGCAAAGAUAAUUGGAGGUAUGGUUAAAUUGUUAAGUCUUGUAGCCUCCCUCCUUCUGGGAGCUGCUGGAGGGCUAAUUCCCAUUGAUGUACAGUCCAGCAGAUUCAGCAGAUGUUCUGUGUCAUGGGGUGAAGGCUUCUCCUCUGGUCAUUGUCAUCCCUCCUUGCUGCUGAUUGCAGGUGCUGCAGGACAGACCCUGUGGUGCCACAUCAGUGACCUUGGGAGCACUGUGUGCUCAUCCCAGGCAAACAACAAUAACCAGACAAACCCUAAGGAGCUAUUAGAGCCUAUGUCUAUAAAAUAAGAUUAUGUUCUGAAAGAUGCUGAGCAUCAACUCUGAAUAAAACCAGUAAGAAAAGAGAGUGUGCAGGGUGACACAGAGAAAUACAGAGGAGGCUCUGUUAGUCUAAGAGCAUUGGAACCAUGAAAGAAACUGGUCUGAAAUUAAAAACAGUGAGAUGUAUUUAACUACAGUGCAGCAGAUUGGCUUAUAAAACAAUGAGAAUGCUGCUACUUAGGGGCUUGGGGGAGGGAAGAGAAUUUGGGUGGAUCAUCAGAAGAACUGAAAAUGCCAAGAGAAAGAAAUAAAACAUCCUGAUACUGUAA